rnacentral:rRNA from 1 species
GAUGAACGCUGGCGGCGUGUCUAAUACAUGCAAGUCGAGCGAACGGACGAGAAGCUUGCUUCUCUGAUGUUAGCGGCGGACGGGUGAGUAACACGUGGAUAACCUACCUAUAAGACUGGGAUAACUUCGGGAAACCGGAGCUAAUACCGGAUAAUAUUUUGAACCGCAUGGUUCAAAAGUGAAAGACGGUCUUGCUGUCGCUUAUAGAUGGAUCCGCGCUGCAUUAGCUAGUUGGUAAGGUAACGGCUUACCAAGGCAACGAUGCAUAGCCGACCUGAGAGGGUGAUCGGCCACACUGGAACUGAGACACGGUCCAGACUCCUACGGGAGGCAGCAGUAGGGAAUCUUCCGCAAUGGGCGAAAGCCUGACGGAGCAACGCCGCGUGAGUGAUGAAGGUCUUCGGAUCGUAAAACUCUGUUAUUAGGGAAGAACAUAUGUGUAAGUAACUGUGCACAUCUUGACGGUACCUAAUCAGAAAGCCACGGCUAACUACGUG